rnacentral:rRNA from 1 species
CGUAGGGUGCAAGCGUUAAUCGGAAUUACUGGGCGUAAAGCGUGCGCAGGCGGUUAUGCAAGACAGAUGUGAAAUCCCCGGGCUCAACCUGGGAACUGCAUUUGUGACUGCAUAGCUAGAGUACGGUAGAGGGGGAUGGAAUUCCGCGUGUAGCAGUGAAAUGCGUAGAUAUGCGGAGGUACACCGAUGGCGAAGGCAAUCCCCUGGACCUGUACUGACGCUCAUGCACGAAAGCGUGGGGAGCAAACAGGAUUAGAUACCCUGGUAGUCCACGCCCUAAACGAUGUCAACUGGUUGUUGGGAGGGUUUCUUCUCAGUAACGUAGCUAACGCGUGAAGUUGACCGCCUGGGGAGUACGGCCGCAAGGUUG